UACGGGGGGGCGAGCGUUGUUCGGAAUUACUGGGCGUAAAGGGCUCGUAGGUGGCCAACUAAGUCAGACGUGAAAUCCCUCAGCUUAACUGGGGAACUGCGUCUGAUACUGGAUGGCUUGAGAUUGGGAGAGGGACGCGGAAUUCCAGGUGUAGCGGUGAAAUGCGUAGAUAUCUGGAGGAACACCGGUGGCGAAGGCGGCGUCCUGGACCAACACUGACACUGAGGAGCGAAAGCCAGGGGAGCAAACGGG
rnacentral:rRNA from 1 species